AACUUUUGGCAAUGGAUCACUUGGCUCUCGCAUGGAUGAAGAACGCAGCGAAAUGCGAUAAGUAAUGUGGAUUGCAGAAUUCAGUGAAUCAUCGAAGCUUUGAACGCAUCUUGCGCUCCUUGUUAUUCCGAGGAGCAUGCCUGUGUGAGUGUCAUUAAUAUAUCAACCCUCUUUUGCUUGUUUGCAUGUCGAGUGUUGGAUGUGGGGGUUUUUGCUGGACUCUCUCCUUGAGGUCAGCUCUCCUAAAAUACAUUAGCAAAACAAUUUGUUUACUGCUCAUUGGUGUGAUAACUAUCUACGCUAUUGGCGGUAUAAAGCACAGUUUAGCUUCUAACAGUCCAUUAACUUGGACAAUCUUUUAUCAAUGUGACCUCAAAUCAGGUAGGAUUACCCGCUGAACUUAAGCAUAUCAAUAAGCGGAGGCU
rnacentral:misc_RNA from 1 species